UUACAAUACAUCAGUUCAUGUGUAAACAGUAUGGAAUAUUUUGCAAAAUCUAAUUUAGAACAGUUGACUAAGAAAGUGGCUACAUUUACACAAGUGAGUCUAAAGUUUUGAUGGGUAGUAUAGAUCAUAGAAAUUGAUUAUCGACAAAUAUCGUAGGCGUAACUUUGAGCAAAGUUGCUAAAUAUGUCUAAGAGAAAUAAAUAUAUUUGACAUCAGAGGUGAGAGGUGACAUGUUUAUCCAUGGGUUGCUGACACAACAUUAUCCUGAACAUGAUGUAGACGUAGACCAUAAAUAAAAUCCUAAAACUGAACAUUGUGUGAGAAAAUUAAACCUUUUUUCUUUCACAAAAGUUCGUGUACGAUAUCGAUAACACAAUUUUAAUAUUGGUGAUCAUUAAUAAGUUUUUCUAUCGAUGAUAUUUCUGAUUAUCGAUCAUUUUAGCCAGCCCUAUGUACUUGGUGGUGAAAUGAAUUGACGGGUCAGUGACCAAUGCCCCUACGGCAUGGAUGUUUGCUAUAUAAAUAACUAUUAUAGUUAAAUCACUGAAUUGUCUGGCCCAGACUUGAUUAUUUGCAUGAUCUCAUCAUAGUAUUGAUAACAUUGAUCUGAGUGGGAAAAAUCUGGAAUUAAAACCUGUAAGCAAUGUAAAGUCUUUGAUUUGAUGUACAUGAAGUGAUGAAGUAUAUGUGGAUGUCAAAUAUUGGGAUUACAUUUUCUCGUAAAGUACAGACUCUAGUACUGUGGAUGGGUUGAGUCUCAUCGGUGAUUUGAACCUACACCCUCAAAGUCAGGCACCUAAUCGCCAGCACACAGAGUCAGCCGUCUAACCCAUGUGGAUGCUGCGGUGGCUGAGUGGGUUAGACGGCUGACUUUGUGUGCUGGUGACUGAGAGUGUGUGUUUGAAUCCCGGAUGAUACCCAACCCAACAUAAGUACUAGAAUCUGUACUUUACCGAGAAAGUUUAAUCCCAAAUAACACAUGCAUUUAGUGAAGGUAGUCUGGCUACAGACACAUUAAUAUUGGUUUUCCAAGUGUGUAAUCAGAUGUAUUCUAGAAUUUGCGCUUUUUUCAACAUUAGAGAUUGGAUACAUUUUUCUGAUCCGUCAUCCUGCUUGGCCAUAGACGUGUGAGCAUGACAACGAGUAAACAACACGGCAACGUUGGUUACAUUUAUUGCUUGGCUAUUCUUUGCAGCAGUCUUGAUAUUUUAUCUCUGUUUGAAAUAAAUGAACAAAAGUUCAGAUCUUGUACAAUUAUAAGAGUUUUUAAAUACAAAAUUGUGAUUUUUUUGUAAAUAUUUGGUUAUGAUUAGUGUGUCACUUAGUGUAAAUAAAAAGGGUAAAAUAUGUAUAUUUCAAAUUGUCUGGAUCUAGCAUAUAUGUCAGACAAGACGUCAGCAGAAUCUUUGAUGCAUCAUUUCAAUUUGAGAAGAAAAAAUUGAAAAAGAUCCUAAAUAUAUUUUUCUUUAGUUGAUAUAACCGAUAUAUAGUACAUGUCCCCUGCAUCCGGUUAUGUGUGUGUCAGUCUUCCUCCCAGUGAUGGGAACUGUCAGACAACUUUUGUCAUGUUUUCAAUUUGAAGGUUGUCAGUAUUCGUGAAGAAAAUAUAAGUUACAAUGUCAAUCAGAAAAUAUUUCUGUGUAAACUGGUACAUGUAUAUAUUGUUGACAUGUUAUGUAUGAUGCGUGUAUUCUCAACAGUGGGGCGGGUGGGGUAGCCUAGUGGUUAAAGCGUUCGCUCAUCACACUGAAGACCUAGGUUCGAUUCCCCAGAUGGGUACAGUGUGUGAAGCCCUUUUCUGGUGUCCCCCACGAACAUUGCUGGAAUAUUGCUAAAAGCUGCGUAAAACCAUACUCACUCACUCACUCUAAACAGUGAUUGUUAGUGGCGAGGAUGCAGGUGAAGGUGUGAGUUAUGUGUCAGUAGUGGUCUGGACAAUAGUUUCAGUGAUUGUUAGUGGCGAGGAUGCAGGUGAAGGUGUGAGUUAUGUGGUAGUAGUGGUCUGGACAAUAGUUUCAGUGAUUGUUAGUGGCGAGGAUGCAGGUGAAGGUGUGAGUUAUGUGUCAGUAGUGGUCUGGACAAUAGUUUCAGUGAUUGUUAAUAGCGAGGAUGCAGGUGAAGGUGUGAGUUAUGUGAUAGAAGUGGUGUGGACAAUAGUUUCAGUGAUUGUUAGUGGCGAGGAUGCAGGUGAAGGUGUGAGUUAUGUGAUAGAAGUGGUGUGGACAAUAGUUUCAGUGAUUGUUAGUGGCGAGGAUGCAGGUGAAGGUGUGAGUUAUGUGAUAGAAGUGGUGUGGACAAUAGUUUCAGUGAUUGUUAGUGGCGAAGGAUGCAGGUGAAGGUGUGAGUUAUGUGAUAGAAGUGGUGUGGACAAUAGUUUCUGAAGAUAAGGUGAUGCAGGUGAAUAUGUACAGUGAUAGAAACCUUGUGGUUGAGGUUUGAUCACGCCCAGACCUUGGUUUGAUACCCCUCAUGUCUGGUGUACCCUGAGAGUGAUAUUAGAGUGGUAAGGUGGGGUACUUUUACAGUGUAUGUUAUUUGUCACCAAUCUGUGUGUGAAAUCAACCAAAACCCAGCCAGACAUCUGCGCUGGUAACUUCAAAAACUUACCAGCCCAUAAGAGAUUUAACCAGUCCUUUUUAAAUACUAAAUAGACAGUGCCAGUGGAUACGUUAUCUGAAUAAUAUUUUUCACCCAUCUAUCGGGCUGGCUAGCUGUAAAACUAGACUGUCCGGCAGAAAUCUAGCCCGUCUCGGGCGGUCAGACGGGCCUUAUUUCAUACACUGCCAAUCUUAUUAAUCAUUGUUUGUACAAUACACUUCAUUUUGAAAUUGCA
rnacentral:lncRNA from 1 species